rnacentral:rRNA from 1 species
CCUACGGGUGGCACCAGUAAGGAAUAUUGGUCAAUGGAGGCAACUCUGAACCAGCCAUGCCGCGUGCAGGAAGACGGCCCUCUGGGUUGUAAACUGCUUUUACUCGGGAAUAAACCUAUCUACGUGUAGAUAGCUGAAUGUACCGAAGGAAUAAGGAUCGGCUAACUCCGUGCCAGCAGCCGCGGUAAUACGGAGGAUCCAAGCGUUAUCCGGAUUUAUUGGGUUUAAAGGGUGCGUAGGCGGCCUGUUAAGUCAGGGGUGAAAGACGGUAGCUCAACUAUCGCAGUGCCCUUGAUACUGAUGGGCUUGAAUGGACUAGAGGUAGGCGGAAUGAGACAAGUAGCGGUGAAAUGCAUAGAUAUGUCUCAGAACACCGAUUGCGAAGGCAGCUUACUAUGGUCUUAUUGACGCUGAGGCACGAAAGCGUGGGGAUCGAACAGGAUUAGAUACCCUAGUAGUC